UCCCGUAUGUGUAAGUGGGUAUCUUACCGUCUUGGAACGCCAGCACCUACAAUAAGCUGCUUUAGUGAGACAUAGAUCUUCAAUGUUUAUUUCGUUCACCACCUUGGGAUUUUCCUUUUGUAUUUUCAGAUUAAUCAAGCUAUCCUUCUGCUGUUUCUUCUUCGGGAAGAAGGGACGGACUGCAAGGUAGCCAAGGAGCGCAAGCACGCCAAGGAAGGGCAGUAAGCGGAGCCAUUCUGAAACUAAACACGUGCACACGGGUGUCAGAAUCUGCAGUGCUCUGAUAAAAUGUAGCUAAGCAGGAUUAGUUCAUCAGCCUAAAUCCAAAGCCUGUUCUGAGUCACAGAAUCAAACUUCACAGAUCUAAAAUGCAACGUUUUCUCCUGGUAACAUCUACUAAUCCGGAACAUUUGCUUUUAUACCUUACAAACCUCCUUUUCUGAUUUAUUAUUAUUAGUGUGUAUGAGGUUUGGGAGUUUGCCACCGGACACGUGUGGAGUCAGGGAACAAACGUUUGGACUCAGUCCUCCUUCCACUGUGGAAUAAGCCGAUCUAAUUGAGCAAGUGUUUUUACCCCAUAAGUCAUCUCCCCACCCGCCUUCUGUUUCAGACUACAGACUUGAGGGCAGACGGUUAGGAUAGUUUAGUCUGUAAAAGUGCUUGUCUUGUAAGCCUGAAGCCCUGAGUCCAGUCCCCAGAACCUUGGCUUGUAAUCCCGGCGUUAGCCUGAGACAAGAGGAUCCCGAAGACUCAAUGGCCAGCCAGUCUAGCCUACUUGGUGAGUUCCAGACCAAUGAGACACUGUGUCUCAGAGGAGGUGGACAGCAUUCUGAGGAUGACACUCAAGGUUACCCUCUGACCUCCACAUGCAUGUGCAUACAUGUGCAUCAACACACAUAUAUAUGAGCAUGCACACACACAUAAAAAAUCUAAGUGCAGAAUAAAUACUUUCUGAAUAAAAUCUCAUGAAUUUCCCCUUGUCAAUCAAGUUGUUUUUAAGGUUUGCUGUGUACGUAUUAAGCACCCACUUUGUGGAGACACCGCAAUGCAAAACAGCAGCUGCUGGCUGUUUCUCUGCAUGCAGCACACAGU